UCGAAAUUUUGAACGCAUAUUGCACUUUCGGGUUAUGCCUGGAAGUAUGCCUGUAUCAGUGUCCGU
rnacentral:rRNA from 1 species